GAUGAACGCUGGCGGCGUGCCUAAUACAUGCAAGUCGAGCGAAUGGAUUAAGAGCUUGCUCUUAUGAAGUUAGCGGCGGACGGGUGAGUAACACGUGGGUAACCUGCCCAUAAGACUAGGAUAACUCCGGGAAACCGGGGCUAAUACCGGAUAACAUUUUGAACCGCAUGGUUCGAAAUUGAAGGCGGCUUCGGCUGUCACUUAUGGAUUGGCCCGCGUCGCAUUAGCUAGUUGGUGAGGUAACGGCUCACCAAGGCAACGAUGCGUAGCCGACCUGAGAGGGUGAUCGGCCACACUGGGACUGAGACACGGCCCAGACUCCUACGGGAGGCAGCAGUAGGGAAUCUUCCGCAAUGGACGAAAGUCUGACGGAGCAACGCCGCGUGAGUGAUGAAGGCUUUCGGGUCGUAAAACUCUGUUGUUAGGGAAGAACAAGUGCUAGUUGAAUAAGCUGGCACCUUGACGGUACCUAACCAGAAAGCCACGGCUAACUACGUGCCAGCAGCCGCCGUAA
rnacentral:rRNA from 1 species